UUUCCAUAAAAGAAAGCAUCAAAUUCGUACACAAUCAAGCGUAUCCGCAACUGGUCCGUUGGCCGAUAGACACCGAUGCAAAAUAAUGGUUUUAGCGCCGUCGGCAGCAGCGGCAGUGUAAGAGCCGACGACGUGAUUUCGAAGCUGAAAGACGACGGCGAUUUCGACCGGCUUCGCAUCAAAAUCGUCCGUAAACUCAAGGAGAAUGAAGAGUUGCGAGGCAAUAUAAUGUCAAUGGUGAAACAAUCAGCUGCACUUAACCGUACAGGUGCUGAAAAUAUGAAACCGCGGCAGCUCUCUGAUGCGAUUCACCAAGAAAUUGGGGACAAACUCAUGAGCCAGAUUUCUGAUGGUGUGUGGGAUAUAAUUAGAUGCGCGGAUGGCAUGAAAGCUGAAAUAACAGAAACGGUGCAAUCAGUUUACGAUAAAUUAGCAAACCCUCACGGCAAAGAGAACGGCGAAUCAUCUUCUCACAAGGGUUCGCUAUCAGCUCCAAAUGAACUCGAUAACAAUGGCGAUGCUACUGGAGCUAUUGAAACCGACGCCACUCCCUUAGAUGGAGAGCCAAACGUACCACCGGGAUUUGGUUCGACUGGUGUUCACCGAAGAAACAAGAAUCACCAAACGAACCACCCAAACAAUAAUGGACAAGCAAUAGACAAUUCAGGCUACGAUGCUCCGCCUGGAUUUUCUUCCGCCCUCAAGCGUAAGCAUCGAGGAGAUGCCAGCGAUGAAGAUCCUGAUGUGCCACCUGGAUUCGGUUGAUUCGAACAUCAGUUCAGAGUUUUAGUAAUAUGGAAUCUAUCGUUUUGUAACGAAAUGGGGCGAGAUUCAACUCAAAUGUGUGAGUGGAUAAAUUUUGAAUCUAAAAAGCUUGCACAUAGCCAUGAUAUCCAGAUUGGAUUUCUAUAUCUACCAUGAUCCAAAGGAUCAAAGAAUAUGAUGCAACGGUACAGUGCGUUUAUCAAAAUUGGCUGGAAAGAAGCUCUAUUGAGAAGGUAUUCGACAGAACCCUGUCCGUUUCUUCGAACCUCCUACCAUCAGCUGUUUCGUUGAUUAUAUCAUUUCUAUUUACUGUGUUCAUUUUGCUUUUGGGGUAUGUUGGAAAUUAAUCGAGGAAAAGGAUUGGCUCUUGAUGGCUAAUUACAA